UACAGAGGGUGCAAGCGUUGCUCGGAAUUAUUGGGCGUAAAGGGCAGGUAGGUGGUCUUGUUUGUCUGAGGUGAAAUCCCAGGGCUUAACCCUGGAAGUGCCUUAGAAACGGCAAGACUAGAGUCUUAGAGAGGGUCGUGGAAUUCCCGGUGUAGCGGUGAAAUGCGUUGAUAUCGAUAGGAACUCCGGUGGCGAAGGCGGCAUACUGGACCACAUCUGACGCUGAGGCGCGAAAGCCAGGGGAGCAAACGGG
rnacentral:rRNA from 1 species